UCGAGAAUCUUCCGCAAUGGGCGAAAGCCUGACGGAGCGACGCCGCGUGGUUGACGAAGUCCUUCGGGACGUAAAAACCUUUUAUGGGGGAGGAAGUAAUUGACGUUACCCCAUGAAUAAGGGGCUCCUAACUCUGUGCCAGCAGGAGCGGUAAUACAGAGGCCCCGAGCAUUAUCCGGAAUCACUGGGCGUAAAGGGUGUGUAGGCGGCGAUGUUAGUCUCUCGUAAAAGACCCAGGGCUUAACCCAGGGGAUGCGAGGGAAACGGCAUGGCUUUGAGGGCGCGAGAGGUCUGGGGAACUCAUGGUGUAGGGGUGAAAUCCGUUGAUAUCAUGGGGAACACCAAAUGCGAAGGCACCAGACUGGCGCGUUCCUGACGCUGAAACACGAAAGCGUGGGUAGCGAACGGGAUUAGAUACCCCCGUAGUCC
rnacentral:rRNA from 1 species